ensembl:lncRNA
UGAAUUACACAGCCUGCAUUAAUUUAUCAGUUUAUUUUACCUGAUGUCUCCCAGCGCUGUUGUUGCAUUUUCAGGUUUCUAUUCUGAGCUCUAAGUGUCUCUGGAUUAUGCAGCCUGCUUUAAUUUAUCAGUUUAUUUUAACUGAUGUCUCAGGCGCUGUUGUUGCAUUUUCAGGUUUCUAUUCUGAGCUCUCAGUUUCUCUGGAUUACGCAACCUGCUUUAAUUUACAGUUUAAUUUAUCUGAGGUGUCCAGCGCUGUCGUUGCAUUUCAGGUUUCUGUUCUGAGCUUGAAGUGUCUCUGGAUCACCAGGCCUGCUCUUAUUUAAAAAUUUAUUUAAUUGGACGUCUCCAGAGCUGUGGUUGCAUUUUCAGGUUUCUGUUCUGAGCUGUCAGUGUCUCUGGAUCACGCAGCCUGCUUUAAUGCACAGUUUAUUUUAUCUGAAGUCUCCAGCGCUGUCGUUGCAUUUUCAGGUUUCUGUCCUGAGCACUCAGUGUCUCUGAAUUGCGCAGCCUGCUUUAAUUUAUCAGUUUAGUUUAUCUGAUGUCUCCAGGUCUGUGGUUUCAUUUUCGGGUUUCUGUUCUAAGCUCUCAGUGUCUCUGGAAUAUGCAGCCUGCUUUAAUUUACAGUUCAUUUUAUCUGAUGUCUCCCAUGGCUGUCGUUGCAUUUUCAGGUUGCUGUUCUGAGCUCUAAGUGUCUCUGAAUUACGCAACCUGCUCUAAUUUAUCAGUUCAUUUUUAUCUGACGUCUCCAGCGUUGUUGUUGCAUUUUCAGGUUUCUGUUCUGAGCUUUCAGUUUCUCUGGAUCAUGCAGCCUGCUUUAAUUCCAAGUUUAUUUUAUCUGACAUCUCUCAGCACUGAUGUUGCAUGUUCAGGUUUCUAUCCUGAGCUAAGUGUCACUGAAAUAUGCAACCUGCUUUAAUUUAUCAGUUUAUUUUUAUCUGACGUCUCCAGCGUUGUUGUUGCAUUUUCAGGUUUCUGUUCUGAGCUCUCAGUGUCUCUGGAUUACGCAGCCUGCUUUAAUUUAUGGUUUAUUUUAUCUGACGUCUCCCAGCACUGGCGUUGCACUUUCAGUUUUCUGUUCUGAGCUCUCAGUGUCUCUGGAUCAUGCAGCCUGCUUUAAUUCCCAGUUUAUUUUAUCUGACGUCUCUCAGGGCUGAUGUUGCAUUUUCAGGUUUCUGUUCUGAGCUCUCAGUGUCUCUGGAUUACGCAGCCUGCUUUAAUUUAUGGUUUAUUUUAUCUGACGUCUCCCAGCACUGGCGUUGCACUUUCAGUUUUCUGUUCUGAGCACUCAGUGUCUCUGAAUUAUGCAGCCUGCUUUAAUUUAUCAGUUUAUUUUUCUGACGUCUCCAAGCGCUGCUGUUGCAUUUUCAAGUUUCUAUUCUCAGCUCUAAGUGUCUCUGGAUUACACAGCCUGCUUUAAUUUACAGUUUAUUUUAUCUGAAGCCUCCCAAUGCUGUCUUUGCAUUUUCAGGUUUCUGUCCUGAGCUCUCAGGGUCUCUGGAUUGCGAAGCCUGCUUUAAUUUAUCAGUUUAUUUUAUCUGAUGUCUCCAGGACUGUGGUUUCAUUUUCAGGUAUCUAUUCUGAGAUCUCAGUUUCUCUGGAUAACGCAGCCUGCUUUAAUUUACCAGAUUAUUUUAUCAAAUGACUCUCAGCGCUUUUGUUACAUUUUCAGGUUUCUGUCCUGAGCUCUCAGUGUCUCUGGAUUGCGCAGCCUGCAUUAAUUUAUCAGUUUAUUUAAUCUGAUGUCUCCAGCACUGUGAUUUCAUUUUCAGGUUUCUAUUAUGAGAUCUAAGUGUCUCUGGAUUACGCAGCCUGCUUUAAUAUACAGUUCAUUUUAUCUGACGUCUCCCAGCGAUGUCGUUGCAUUUUAGGUUUCUUUUCUGAUCUCUCAUUGUCUCUGGAGUACACAGCCUGCUUUAAUUUAUCAAUUUAUUUUAUCUGACUUCUCCAAGCACUGUCGUUGCAUUUUCAGGUUUGUAUUCUGAGCACUCAGUGUCUCUGAAUUACGAAGCCUGCUUUAAUUUAUCAGUUUAUUUUUCUAACGUCUCCAAGCGCUGCUGUUGCAUUUAAAAGUUUCUAUUCUGAGCUCUAAGUGUCUCUGGAUUACGCAGCCUGCUUUAAUUUUCAGUUUAUUUGAUCUGAAGCCUCCCAAUGCUGUCUUUGCAUUUUCAGGUUUCUAUUCUGAGCUCUCAGGGUCGCUGGAUCAUGCAACCUGCUUUAAUUUACAGUUUAUUUUAUCUGAUGUCUCCCAUGGCGCCUUUGCAAUAUCAGGUUUCUGUCCUGAGCUCUCAGUGUCUCUGGAUUACGCAGCCUGCUUUAAUUUAUCAGUUUAUUUUAUAUGAUGUCUCCAGGACUGUGGUUUCAGUUUCAGGUUUCUAUUCUGAGAUCUCAGUUUCUCUGGAUCACGCAGCCAGCUUUAAUUUACCAGAUUAUUUUAUCUGAUGUCUCUCAGCGCUUUUGUUUCAUUUUCAGAUUUCUAUUCUGAGCUCUCAGUGUCUCUGGAUCACGCAGCCUGCUUUUAGUUACAAUUUGUUUUAUUUGACGUCUCCAGAGCUGUCGUUGCAUUUUCAGGUUUCUGUCCUGAGCUCUCAAUGUCUCUGGAUUGCCCAGCCUGCAUUAAUUUAUCAAUUUAUUUUAUCUGAUGUCUCCAGCACUGUGGUUUCAUUUUCAGGUUUCUAUUAUGAGAUCUAAGUGUCUCUGGAUUACGCAGCCUGCUUUAAUUUACAGUUUAUUUUAUCUGACGUCUCCUGCGCUGUCGUUGCAUUUUCAGGUUUCUGUUCUAAGCUCUCAGUGUCUCUGGAAUAUGCAGCCUGCUUUAAUUUACAGUUUAUUUGAUCUGAAGUCUCCCAAUGCUGUCUUUGCAUUUUCAGGUUUCUAUUCUGAGCUCUCAGGGUCACUGGAUCAUGCAACCUGCUUUAAUUUACAGUUUAUUUUAUCUGAUGUCUCUCAUGGCUGCCGUUGCAAUUUCAGGUUUCUGUCCUGAGCUCUCAGUGUCUCUGGAUUGCGCAGCCUGCUUUAAUUUAUCAGUUUAUUUUAUCUGAUGUCUCCAGGACUGUGGUUUCAUUUUCAGGUUUCUAUUCUGAGAUCUCAGUUUCUCUUGAUCGCGCAGCCGGCUUUAAUUUACCAGAUUAUUUAAUCUGACGACUCUCAGCGCUUUUGUUGCAUUUUCAGGUAUCUGUCCUGAGCUCUCAGUGUCUCUGGAUUGCGCAGCCUGCAUUAAUGUAUCAGUUUAUUUUAUCUGAUGUCUUCAGCACUGUCGUUGCAUUUUCAGGUUUCUAUUCUGAGCUCUCAGGGUCGCAGGAUCCCGCAACCUGCUUUAAUUUAUCAGUUUUUUUUUAUCUGACGUCUCUCAACGCUGUUGUUGCAUUUUCAGGUUUCUUUCAUGUGCUAAGUGUCUCUGAAUUACACAGCCUGCUUUAAUUUAUCAGUUUAUUUUAUGUGCCAUCUCCCAGCGCUGUCGUUGCAUUUUCAGGUUUCUAUUCUGAGCUCUCAGUGACUCUGGAUUACCCAGCCUGCAUUAUUUUAUCAGUUUAUUUUAUAUCACGUCUCCAGCGCUGUCGUUGCAUUUUCAGGUUUCUGUCCUGAGCUCUCAGUAUCUCUGGAUCAUGCAGCCUGCUUUAAUUCCCAGUUUAUAUUAUCUGACGUCUCUCAGCGCUGAUGUUGCAUUUUCCGGUUUCUAUCCUGAAUUAAGUGUCUCUGGAUUACGCAGUCUGCAUUAAUUUAUCAGUUUAUUUUAUCUGAUGUCUCCAGGACUGUGGUUUCAUUUUCAGGUUUCUAUUCUGAGCUCUAAGUGUCUCUGGAUUACGCAGCCUGCUUUAAUUUUUCAGUUUAAUUUAUAUGACGUCUCGCAGCACUGUCGUUGCAUUUUCAGAUUUGUAUUCUGAGCUCUAAGUGUGUCUGAAUUACGCAGCCUGCUUUAAUUUAUCAGUUUAUUUUUAUCUGACUUCUCCCAGCGAUGCUGUUGCAUUUUCAGGUUUCUAUUCUGAGCUCUAAGUGUCUCUGGAUUACGCAGCCUGCGUUAAUUUACAGUUUAUUUUAUCUGAAGUCUCCAGCGCUUUCGUUGCAUUUUCAGGUUUCUGUUCUAAGCUAUCAGUGUCUCUGGAUUACGCAGCCUGAUUUAAUUUACAGUUCAUUUUAUCUGAUGUUUCCCAAUGCUGUCGUUGCAUUUUUAAGGUUUCUAUUUGAGCUCUCAACUUCGCUGUAUCCCGCAACCUGCUUUAAUUUACAGUUUAUUUUAUCUGAUGUCUCCCAAGGCUGUCGUUGCAUUUUCAGGUUUCUGUUCUGAGCUCUCAGUGUCUCUGGAUUACGCAGCCUGCUUUAAUUUUUCAGUUUAAUUUAUAUGACGUCUCGCAGCACUGUCGUUGCAUUUUCAGGUUUGUAUUCUGAGCUCUAAGUGUCUCUGAAUUACGCAGCCUGCUUUAAUUUAUCAGUUUAUUUUUAUCUGACUUCUCCCAGCGAUGCUGUUGCAUUUUCAGGUUUCUGUUCUGAGCUCUCAGUGUCUCUGGAUCAUGCAGCCUGCGUUAAUUCCCAGUUUAUUUUAUCUGAUGUGUCUCAGCGCUGAUGUUGCAUUUUCAGGUUUCUGUCCUGAGCUCCCAAUGUCUCUGGAUUACGCACCCAGCUUUAAGUUACAGUUCAUUUUAUUGACGUCUCCAGCACUGUUGUUGCAUUUUCAGCUUUCUGACCAGAUCUCUAAGUGUCUCUGGAUUAUGCAGCCUGCUUUAAUUUACAGUUUAUUUUUAUCUGACGUCUCCCAGCGCUGCUGUUUUAUUUUAGCAGCAUUUGAAAACUGUGAAGCUGAUGAUCUGUGAUUUCUCCUCUCGUCUGGAGCCUCCAGGCCUUGCGGCGGCUGCAUUCACAGGACGCACAGACGCUGACCGAGCAGAAGUGUGCAAGGACACCAAUGCUUUUAUUUUAUUUUCUCUCCCCUCAGGCUCGCGUUGAACGUGACACCGAAGCUGCGGUUUCCUUCCCGAUGGCGCUCAGACGCCGCUCCUCCUCUUCCUCCUCCUCCUCCUCCUCCUCCUCCUCCUCCUCCUCCUCCUCACCGUCCUCAUCACCUCCUGGAGCCGCUGCACCCUCUGCCCACGGCGCCAACCUGAAAAUCAGCAACCGAGCUGGGCGGUGGCGCCACCGCCUGUAAUCCCCGCACUCUGGAGGCAGAGGCGUGGUGGAUGUCUGUGAGUUCGAGGCCAGCCUGGUUUACAGGGCGGAGGCCUGGAUAGGGUCCAUAGACACACACAGAGAAACCCUGUCUCAGAAACCAAUAAUAAUAAUAAUAAUAAUAAUAAUAAUAAUAUUAAUAUUAAUAGUAACAAUAAUAGUAAUAAUAAAAUAACAAUAGUAAUAAUAGUGACAAUAAUGAUAACACUAAUAAUAAUAGUAGUGAUGAUAACAAUAAUAAUAAUAGCAAUAGUAAUAAAAAUAAUAGUAAUAACAAUAGUAAUAGUAAUAACAGUAAUAAUGAUGGUAGUAAUAAUAAUACUAAUAGAAAUGAUAAAAAUAAUAGUAGUAUUAAUAAUAGUAAAAAUAACAAUAAUAAUAGUAAUAACAGUAAUAAUAGAAAUAAUAAUAGUAAUAAUAAUAAUAGCAAUAAUAAUACAAAUAGUGAUAAUAAUAAUAGCAUUAAUAAACAAUAGUAACAGUAAUAAUAAUAACAAUAGUAGCAAUAAUAGUAAUAAUAAAAGGAAUAAUAAUAAUAAUGAUGAUGAUGAUGACAACAGUCGCCCUGGAAAGCAUCCAGAUGGAAAUAGGAGGACGGUUCCUAGGUUUCUACGUCGUCUCUGUGUCGUCACUGAGGGGCGGGGUGGGGUUCGGAGACGCCGCG